rnacentral:rRNA from 1 species
CAAGGUGCUGCAUGGUUGUCGUCAGCUCGUGCCGUGAGGUGUCGGGUUAAGUCCCAUAACGAGCGCAACCCCUACCUUUAGUUGCCAUCAGGUUAAGCGUGGGGACUCUAAAGGAACUGCCUACGCAAGUAGUGAGGAAGGCGGGGAUGACGUCAAAUCAGCACGGCCCUUACGUCCAGGGCUACACACGUGCUACAAUGGCCGAUACAGAGGGCAGCUACCUGGUGACAGGAUGCAAAUCUCCAAAGUCGGUCUCAGUUCGGAUCGGAGUCUGCAACCCGACUCCGUGAAGUUGGAUUCGCUAGUAAUCGCGCAUCAGCCAUGGCGCGGUGAAUACGUUCCCGGCCUU